GACGAACGCUGGCGGCGUGCUUAACACAUGCAAGUCGAACGGAAAGGCCCUGCUUUUGUGGGGUGCUCGAGUGGCGAACGGGUGAGUAACACGUGAGUAACCUGCCCUUGACUUUGGGAUAACUUCAGGAAACUGGGGCUAAUACCGGAUAGGGGCUCCUGCUGCAUGGUGGGGGUUGGAAAGUUUGGGCGGUUGGGGAUGGACUCGCGGCUUAUCAGCUUGUUGGUGGGGUAGUGGCUUACCAAGGGUUUGACGGGUAGCCGGCCUGAGAGGGUGACCGGCCACAUUGGGACUGAGAUACGGCCCAGACUCCUACGGGAGGCAGCAGUGGGGAAUAUUGCACAAUGGGCGGAAGCCUGAUGCAGCAACGCCGCGUGCGGGAUGACGGCCUUCGGGUUGUAAACCGCUUUCGCCUGUGACGAAGCGUGAGUGACGGUAAUGGGUAAAGAAGCACCGGCUAACUACGUG
rnacentral:rRNA from 1 species